UAAAGUCUUAAGUUAAUUAAUAAACUAGUAGCCUUCAAAGUUAAAAAUGAUCAUUUAGAUUUU
rnacentral:tRNA from 1 species